rnacentral:rRNA from 1 species
UACAGAGGUCCCAAGCGUUGUUCGGAUUCACUGGGCGUAAAGGGUGCAUAGGUGGCCAGGUAAGUUCGGUGUGAAAGCUCGGAGCUUAACUCCGAAAUGGCAUUGAAUACUAUCUGGCUAGAGGGUCGGAGGGGAGACUGGAAUUCUCGGUGUAGCAGUGAAAUGCGUAGAUAUCGAGAGGAACACCAGUGGCGAAGGCGAGUCUCUGGACGACUCCUGACACUGAGGCACGAAAGCCAGGGGAGCAAACAGG